rnacentral:lncRNA from 1 species
UUUAAGUACUUUUGUGAGCAUUUGAAUCUAGCAAAUAAAUAAUUUUGUGCAAAUUAAAAUUCAUCAUAAGUUUAGAAACAUGAAUUUGCAUUCAUGCUGGGGCAUAUUUUUAUUUGAGCUGUGAGAUUUUGGAUUGAAGUUAAUUGUGUUCAAAAUUCUAUUUGAAAAGGGCUUUGAAAAAUAAAAUAAAAAAAGAGAAGAAAGGGGAAAGAACACCGCAGCCAACCCCUCCCGGC